AUGGAGCUGCGAAACCACUGCUCAUGCACACCGAGCCCCCUCCGUCUCCGCCUCCCCUGCCCAGAGCCGGAUGUCUGGACGCUCUCGCUUGGAAUGUGUUCACUCUCAGGCCCGGCCCUUGGACUUCCUGAAAUCAGUGUGUGUCGGCUCCAGACAGCAAAAGACAGACGGGGACAAGUACGCAGCGUGAGACCGUCCAUUCUCCAAGCUGCUGAGCACUGGCAGAUCUGCUGCCUCGCUCUUGGUGCUGCCUGGCCCACUUCUGAUGCUGCCCCUGCUCGUCCCCAUGCUGCCGCCUACCCGUGCCCGAGUCUGGCCGUCUUCUGUCCCGAGAGCAGAAAACAUCCAUACAGACAUGAAGAGCAAACAUGGCUCUUCCCAUCUGCAGCACUGGGCCUCCCAGAGCAGCGGGAACAGCAGAGCCUGUUCUGUCCGGGUGACAGCAGGGACGCAGCCCGCACAGCCACUCACCAUGCAGAAGGGCCGGUGCCCUGGGCCGGGCUGUGCGGGUCAGAACACCCCGAGGUACCAUGCAGGGGGCUCGGUUGAGGCAGGGGCAACACGGGACCCCAAAGCCCAGGCAGGACCCGCACGCCGGGGCUCACCGCCCACUCCAGAGGUGCAGGCCUAGUGCUCGCUGCUCAUGGAGUGCUGGACACGUCUUCUCCUACAAGGCUAAAGUAACAAGAGCCUAAUGAAAUCCCAAAGCCCAGCGGCUAAACGAAAGGCCGUUAGUGUACGCACUCAGUUAGAUAAGUACACGUCAACCUAGUACCACUGCUUUUAAUGAGAGAAGUUAUGAUGAUUUCCACUCCCCGGGGGCCGCUAGCCACAAAAAGCUAGAGCCAGGCCCACCUCAUGCAGCCCACAGAGGGUCACACUGGCCCUAGGGCACAGCACCAAGGGAGUGCAGGGCUUCCGGAGUCGGCUCUGCGAGCACACCAUGCGGAUCUGCACUUCCCUGGGGCACGCGGGAGCCCUCAGAUGUGCGAAUCUGUGUGCAGCUGGAGGUAAGACAAAGUCUCCUGGGCUUCCUAGCGCUGCUGCACAAACAUUGGUCCAAUUCAUUUGUUCUGGGGCUGCGGAGCACAACCAGCAACAGGCCGCACACCUACACCACGGAGUGCAUCAGUGCCCGUCCUUCUCUGCCCGUCCCUCAGCCAUCGCCCUGCCUUGCUGGGCCGCCCAGCUGUCCAGCUCACCCGAGCCCAGUGCACCUGGCCACCUUCCAGGGACACCUGUGGACACGCACCGGGCCCUUAGCAGCCACACUCUGGGGCCACACUCGAGGACGCUGCUGGCUCUUGGUCCCCAGCUGGCUGCCCUACACUGGAAAACACUAAAGUAAUGAUUUCACUGCCGUCACCAGCCAUGGCAAUGACCCAGAAUAAUGCUCAGUGCUGGCAGGUGUAAAGGACAGAGGAAUCUGGGGCAGUGGAGUCAGAAGGUGGGUGUAGGAACCGGGACAGCGUGCUGGGACAACAUCUCCACUGCUGAUCCAAGUCCCUCUCCUGGCCACCUGUCGCCCAGUGCAGGUGCUGUCUCAGUCCGCACUUCCUUGGAGUAGGAGGAGGAGGAGGAGGAGGCGGCUGUGUGCCUGGGUCACUUGGUGCCCUGGGAAUGGAUGUCUUAGGAGGUUCAGCCCGGACAGGUUCUGUGACAG
rnacentral:lncRNA from 1 species